AACUUCUGUGCGUAGCGUGUUCCACCAUCUUCGGGGUCGAUCCGUCCCAUCCACUCGAAUCCUUGUCCAGGGGCCUGCCGCACCCAGUGCAUAUAGUAGCUGGUGAAGGUGUAUCCGGACGCCUUGCAGGAGACCUUCACGGAUGUCCCCAGCUUCUUCAGCUCAGCCCCAGACUGCACCAGCUGGACCUGGGACCCCUCACCUGCAGCCAGUGCCAGGAGGAAGAGGACUCUCCAGCUGCAGUCCAUAGAGAUUGGCGGUGCUCUCAGGGUCUCUGUAGGGAGGAUGCGGU